CCCAGACUCCUACGGGAGGCAGCAGUGGGGGAUAUUGCACAAUGGGGGAAACCCUGAUGCAGCGACGCCGCGUGUAGGAAGACGGUCCUCUGGAUUGUAAACUACUGUCCCCAGGGACGAAGAUGACGGUACCUGGGGAGGAAGCAUCGGCUAACUCCGUGCCAGCAGCCGCGGUAAUACGGAGGAUGCGAGCGUUAUCCGGAUUUAUUGGGUUUAAAGGGUGCGCAGGCGGGAGAUCAAGUCAGCGGUAAAAUGUCGGGGCUCAACCCCGGCCGGCCGUUGAAACUGGUUUUCUAGAGUUGGAGAGAAGUAUGCGGAAUUCGUGGUGUAGCGGUGAAAUGCAUAGAUAUCACGAAGAACUCCGAUUGCGAAGGCGGCAUACCGGCUCCAUACUGACGCUGAGGCACGAAAGCGUGGGGAUCGAACAGGAUUAGAUACCCCAGUA
rnacentral:rRNA from 1 species